GCUAUUGCUGAGCUGAAGAGUGGGAGAUGGGCCUAAGGAGUUUACUGGAGGUUAUACUCCAGUCAAAGAAGAUGGAAACCAAGAAAGGACACAUUUUGGAGAUUAGCACUGGCUCCAGGAACCCAGUGAACAGAAGACUCAGGCUGAAGGCUUGUGCAUUCAGCCCAGAGAAAAUCCACUUAAAUUCAGAACAAUUAAGGACUCUGGGGAAGAAGGACUUCACAUGGUAGUGUGAUUGGAAGGCAGAUAAAUUUUAGGACACAAUGGAAGUUCCUAAGAUUUUUUAUCCUUUUCCAAUAGGAAGGAUAAAAAAAUCAUCUAAAACUAGAGGAAAAAUCAUCUAAAACAAGGUAUAAAGAAAUGGCUCACGUGUGACCCUUAUUUUACUGUGACAUGGAGCAUUUGAUGAAGGAUGUGGGAAGGGAGCCUGCUUAACUAUGAAGUGAGUAGCAUCGCCCCAGGAGCACCAUGACAGAUGCACAGGACAUGGAGGGAAGGAAAUGGCAUCCUGGCACAGCCCUGGCUCUACAUUGAGCAAUGUAGACAAAAUCAUAAAGGCUGCUCUAGUUUUCUACUUUUAGAAUCAACCUACAGACAUGUAAGACUUAAUUGUAGUUGUAGAAUAAAAGAUAAAAGAUUAUUGGCUUUCAUAACAAUAAAGUCCUAACAAUGAUUCACAGUUAUUCCAUGAAUAAGGGUAGGGGAAAAGAGGGAGGAAUGUAAGGCAUUUUAUAUGGAGCAAGGGAGGCAAAAGACGUUGACAGAGGCUUAUGGAACAACACACACACGCACACAAAUAGAAGGAAUAUAUUGCUUAAAAUGACAAAAAUAGCCAACAUAGGCUGGGUGCGGUGGCUCAUGCCUGUAAUCCCAGCACUUUGGGAGGCUGAGGCGGACGGAUCACUUGAAGCCAGGAGUUCAAGACCAGCCUGGCCAACAUGGUGAAACCCCGUCUCUACUAAAAAUACAAAAAUUGACUGGGCGCAGUGGUGUGCAUCUGUAGUUCCAACUACUUGGGAGGCUGAGGCAGGAGAAUCACUUGAAUCCGGGAGGCGGAGGUUGCAGUGAGCCGAGAUCACGCCACUGCAUCCUAGCCUGGGUGACAGAGUGAGACCGUCUGAAAAAGAAAAAAGCCAACAUAGGAAUUUUUAAAAUAAUAUAUAAUUACCAAAAAUUGGGGAAAAUAGAGACAGGGAAGGCAGUUCUAUAAGCGAGAUAAAUCUUUAUCUUUUGUAUCAGAAAGUCAAUAAAUAUUGUCUGAAUUUGAUUGGUUAUUUCCAUUUUUAUGAAAUGUCUACAAUAGGCAAAUCUAUAGAACCAGUAAAGAAAUUAGGAAUUCCUGUGGCUGGGACUGAAGAGUGAAAUCACUGCAAGUGGUCAAGAGGGAUCUUCUGAAGUGAUAGGUGUGUUCUAAAAUUGGGCUGUGGGGAUGCUUGCACAACUCUGUAACUUUGCUAAAAUUCAUUUCAUUACACAUUUAGUGAGUUUUAUGAUAUGUACAUUACCCAUCAAUAAAGCUGUGUUAAAAAAAAGGCUGA
rnacentral:lncRNA from 10 species